rnacentral:lncRNA from 1 species
UUUUAGUUGUAUCAUCUCCUCUCAAAGUAAGUUUCUACUUAUUAACUCAAUAUACUUAUAAUUUUAAAUUUAUUUUUUGUAUAGUAUGCAUGAGCAAUUUUCAUAUAAUUAUCUGUUAUUUUAAAUUAAUUACUUGUUUCUUUUUUGCAUAGACAAAUGAACACUUUCGUCAAUAACUACAAGUUGAACGAGAAGGAAAUAGUUUUCUAUAAUGAGAGGAAAAAGAACUGAAAAAUCUAAUAUGCAUAUUGACCUUGUUAUCCAUUUUUCAGAAAAAAAAUUUGUAAUCUCGUAGGUGCGUCAAGCCCCUAGAAUAAAAUAUAAGUAUAUAAGUAUAUGAAAGUAUCACUAGAAUGAUCACAGACACUAAGACAUAAGGUACACCACAUCAUUUGCAAGGCAAAAAUUUAUUCGUGUGCAACAUUUACAAUAAAUGAUUAAUUAUUCUGAUUAUUUAACAGUCGUAAUUAUAGAUUUGAAUGAAAAAGGCACAUUAUUUAUUUAAAAUUUUAUUAUUUUAGUGUUUAUGGUGUGUGAGCAAUUUUAUUAUAAUAUUGCAUAUUUGAAUGAAAAAUACAUAUUUUUUUUAAUAUUUUAUUUUUCAAUAAUUGUGGUGUUCGGAGGUUAGCUCGUGCUCCUGACUAGUUUUCUGAGGUACUUUCUACUACGUGCACACACUAAUAGAUGUACUAGUAAUUAUUUCUGUCAAUGUUUAAAUAUAUAGGAAGAAUUAUCUAGUAUUUUUAUUUUCGAUGAAAAUUUGAACCUAAGACCUCAGACUUGUUAGCCCAUUUCAUUGAUCAUAAAUCAUAAUGUCAAAAUCAAGAUGCUACAAGAUGCAUAUUAUUUGACAAUGGUUAUAAAUAUGUGCCUAUUUAAGGAAUGGUAUAUCCAUUUAUAUAAUUUGAUGAAACCAUUGAUCGUUAAUUAUUUUUUAAAAAUCUACAAGGUGAAAUUUAGCCAGAAUUUGACUUUACGGUUGAGAGUUUCUACUUUCAAGUCAUUGCUAUAUAGAACUUUUAAUAUCGUAAUAUGAUCUUCAGUUUAAUUUGAAGUAUAAUUAUUGCUUCAUUGGGGUAGAUAUUUUCUCACAUGUCUUGUACCUCUUUUGUUUGCGUAAGGAUUGAUCAUAUGACCCAAGCAGGCUAUUUAUAUUUCUCUUGCAUCUAUCCAUCAAGAUUUAUAUAGGUGAAAAAUAAGCAUUUAAUAUUUUUAUUUGUUGUUGUUAUGUUUAUUAUAAUUUUUUUUAUUUACCAAGAUAUGUUCAAAUAAAUCAAAGGCUUCCUAAAGAUUAUGUUAUAUGUAGGGCUAGUGGAUGAGGCACGAAAAAUAUGUUGCAAAUACAGAUUACACAAAAAAAUUUGACGGUCCAUUAGUCUUUCUAAAAUGGUCAAGAUUUAAGAGAAGAAAACAAACUAGACAAUGAUGAAUAAUCAAAGACGAAAAUGCUUCUUCAUCUACAAUUGAAAAAAUUAUGUUUAAUUAUUGCAAAAAUAUGUUAUUAAUUGAUGAAAGGUCAACGAUUAAUAAAGCAAAAAAUGUUGUCAUUCAAUCAUAUUGAUGCUAUCAAUUUAUCAUUAGCAUUUUUUUUAUAAUUUCUUGAAAAACAUUGAUAGCAUCGUAUGAUGAAAUAACCACAUUCUUCUGUCCCUCAAUUGUUGAAUUCUCAAGUUGAUAACAUAUUAAUUUAUAUAUAUUAAACUUAAUUUCUUCAACUGCAGAUUGAAGAAGCAUCUUCGUUUUUGAUUCCUCAUCAUCGUCUAAUUUAUUUUACUCUCUUAAAUACUUGUCCAUUUCAGGAUACUAAUGAACCAUCAAAGUUCCUUGAUGUAACUUGUUUCAGAUGUAAAUAUUUUCCGUACCUUAUCAACUUGCCUUACAUUCAACAUAGUUUACAAAAUCAUUUGAUUUACUUAAAAAUAGCUUUUUAAACAGAAAGAUUAUAAGAAAACCUAUAACACAAGCUAGAAAAAAAUGUUAGAAGAUUAUUUUUCAUCUGUGUAGAUCUUGACAAAUGGAGAUUGACUUGCACUGAUCAAAUGAUCAACUCUAAUACAAAUAAAGGAGUACAAGACAUGCAAAACAUCAAUUCAAAUGAAGCAAAAAUCAUACUUAGGUUUAAACUUAGAAAUAAAUCACAACUUUAAAAUGUUCUCUAAAUAGAAAAUGACUUGAAAAUAGAAAUCAUCAACCGUG